AUCUAUGGCCAUACCACCUGGAACAUGUCUGAUCUCAUCUGAUCUCAGAAGCUAAGCAGGGUCGGGCCUGGUUAGUACUUGGAUGGGAGAGACUCUAUAUCAGUGACUAAAGUGGAAAGUGAUAGAAA
rnacentral:rRNA from 1 species